rnacentral:rRNA from 1 species
CACGCCGUAAACGAUGAGUACUAAGUGUCGGGGGAAUCUCGGUGCUGAAGCAAAUGUAAUAAGUACUCCGCCUGCGUAGUACGUGCGCAAGCAUGAAACUCAAAGGAAUUGACGGGACCCUGCACAAGCGGUGGAUCAUGUUGUUUAAUUCGUGGAUACGCGAAGAACCUUACCAGGCCUUGACAUCCUCUGCAAAGCUAUAGAGAUAUAGUGGAGGUGAACAGAGAGACAGGUGG